UAGAGUGAGAGUUGCGACAACUCCAUUGACUCCAAUGGAACGCUUUUUUUACAGCAAUGGCGGCUCGUGGAGCCUCUCAAUAGUUCCCGGAAGUAGCGGCAAACCGAUGCCGCGCCGUAGAAGAUGCAGCAGAACAAACCGUUUGCAACGCACUUUUAACAGGUGGAGGAUUAGUGGUGCCACUGAACUGUUCUGUGAUGGAGCAUCAGUGAGGAUGCAGACCCUGGUAUCUGGCUGAUGGUUCACUGGAAUGCUGACUGGCUGCUGACUGACUUGCUGCUGGUUGACUGGGCAGUGUCACCUGUCCCUGUCUCUCCUCUCUAGCCAUGUCCUUUUUCUUCACUCUCACUUUCCCUUCUCUGAGUGUCCUCGUUCUUUUUUCCUCAACCUUUGAAACUGAUAGAGGUCUAGGGGUGCAUCGUGGAGCAGGGCCCUCCUCUUUUUGACCACAGGACGGUGUACAAAGAUUGUGGGAAUAGCAUCUGCUGGGAAGAUAUACAUUCGCACACCUUUCUCUGACUGAGUGGAGCAUCCCCAUGCAGCACAGUAAACCACGGUGGAGACUUUGCAAGGACAACAUGAAAGAAAGGACACAUACAAAAUGCUUGUCAUGCUAUUAAAUUUAUUAGAAAUGUA